GACGGCUUGAAGUUUGGGGUCACUAUUCACAAAUCGGGUUCAAACUUCUCCUUAAUUGUUGAGGGCGAUGUAUCGAGCUACUGCUCGACGAAGGAACUCGUUUACGUGAUCGUCGGAAUAGUACUAGUGAGAUCAAUUCAUUCACAGUCCACUGCUCCUUCUGAGUCUUGUAGAGUGAUUUCAGAUUAUCAUACUCUUCUGGCAGUUUGUUUAGCAGCAUGUAAACCAGAAAUGAAUCUUCC